rnacentral:tRNA from 1 species
GGGUCUUUAGCUCAAUUGUAGAGGAUUUGACUGCAGUUCAAGAGGUCACCGGUUAAAACCGGUAGGGCCCU